rnacentral:misc_RNA from 1 species
UCCUUCUAAUUCUUCUUCUUCUCUAAAAUUCCUUCCUUCUUUCCCUCUACUCUUCUUCUUCUUCUUCUAUUGUGCUGGUGUGUGUGCCAUAGUCUCCUUGCCUUGCCGCCCCUAUUCCUGUUUGAUCAUUAUGUUCGUCCUCGUCCUCAACCUCAUUGGCGUUGCUCGUCUCAUCCCUGUCUCUCGUCUAGUCAUCCUUGUUGCUCAUCUCACUUUAGCUUUCAGCACUGGGCUCUGGCUUCCUGCUCAUUUAGUCGUCUCUGGGUCUCUGCCACGCUUUGCGACAGUCGUCAGAUCCUCUCUGGCGUCUUGUUGGGUUUUGAAAAUUUUGCUGCCUAUAUUUACUUUUGUGCAGAGGACUAUUUGUUAGGUUUUUGCUGUUUAUUUUG